rnacentral:piRNA from 1 species
CUGGAGCACAAAGGAUUCAGGAAAAUGGG